GUGUGGUGUCGUUAAACAGAACAAACAAACUUUUUAAAAGCAUAUGCUGGCAUUAAAUCCCCCACUCAAGGUAUGGUUUAUACACUCAUGAACAUGUUAGUAAUUAUGAACUGGCCCCCAACACACAUAGUAAUUUAACAUAUUAAGCCAUUUAAGAGAAUAUUAAUUAUCCUAUCUGUUUAACCAAGCUGGCCAGUUACCCAUGUCUGACUAGUUUUAUUUCAGCAGCUGAGUGAGUUGUCUGCAGUUUGCCAUUGAUCACCAAAUGUUAACAAGGUGGCUCUGCUCUGUGUAAACAUCGGAGCCAGAUUGUGAAGGGAAACAAGUGUUUAUAACAUGGAGAACAGUGCAUGGAGGUCUCAAUAAACAUCACCACACAAUACAGCCUGGGGCUCUCAAUGCUGGGAAACAGGCGGAUGUGCUAGAUUAGUACUAGAUAUCAUUGGUCACAGAUAAACUACCUAGAAACACAGUCUGAUGAAUGUUAUGGUACAGAUCCAUAAAAACAAGAGCUACAUGUAGUGGUAUUUGUGAGUUGGUUGCAGUUGGAAGUGAGAAACGGAUAUUGUUAGAGUGACUCACUAUGUGUGCCAGUGACCUCAUUUAUCCACACCACAGGAAGAAGAAUGGAAAGAAACAGAAACAAGCAAAUAAGAUGACAUAGUGCAAACCAGACGCCAACAAGGAUCACAUUUAAAUGUCUGAUGUCUGAAAAUGUCUGACUGCAACUGUGACGGAUGUGACUGUGACUGUGAUGGGUGCUGUAACUGCUGUGAUUCGCCCGACAGCGCUUUGCCGUGCGCACUGUGUUGUAACCUGUGUCUGUCAGGAACUAUGGUGGACGCAGCGGAAACUGUCGAAUACGCAGCAGCAGCUAGUCGAACGACACACAAAAACCACAAACACCUGAAGUAUUCUCACAAUGAAAAUGGAUCUGCAGUGAUAACGCCAGUAACACCUAACGACAAAGAUGAGCAACAACCGAUGCCAGUGUUAAUUCAGCCUCAGAGUCAAACAAGCAUGGAAACAGCAUGGGAUGGUGUUGAAAAAACUACAAGUUCUCCUGUUUGUAACUCAGACAUAGAACUGACAGUUGUGGACAACAAGUCUGCAGCUAAUACUAAUACCAUCACGUAGGAGCGUGGACAUUGGAUUUGGAGAUUGUCAUUUUGUGAAGAUUCUGCCUGAAUUUAUUCUGCCUGAAUUAUGAAAAUGCUGUACACAGAGUGUAUAUAUUUUUUAGGAUUCCAUCUUAUAAUCUUAAGUUUUCUGACUUAAAAAGUCUGGAAUUUUCAGAAACACACAAGCCUGUUAAAUUAAAAUUCGCAGUCUGAUGUGUGAAGAAGUAAUUCAGUGUUAGAUUAUUUACAAAAAUGUGCCAUAUAACAUAGACGAAAGUGUAAAAUAUUGGAGGUGAAGUUCAAAUAUUCAAAUAUAAAGAUGAAGAAUGUUUAUUCACAGUUUUAAGGUGUUGGACAAGGGAAGUGUAAUAUACUGGAGGCAGAUCAGAAAUAUGUGUAUAAAAAAAGAAAGAAAUGUUUUAACGACUUCUCAAAUCAUAUUACUGAUUCAAUAGCUAUUACACAAACAUAUACCAGUACUUGUGUGUGAUAAAUGCAAUUCCAACAAAUGGCCCAAAAUAUCACAGAUUGGAAAGAGAAAUAUGCGUAACCUAAUAGGUCCACUUAGUUUAACUGUCCUGUGGUCAUUUAACUUAAUGUGUUCACUUAGUCUAAUAACGGUGGUACCAGAGGGUAACGACGGAUAAAAUUGCACUGCUGUUUAAAAUUUAUCAAAGUACAUGAAAUGCAGUGUUCAAUUUCAAAAGAUUUCAAACCUAUAACCACCUAGUAGUAGUAGGGGCACCUGAGGUAUUUUUUAAAUUAUUAUUACGCAUCCUCAAGUUAUUUUCUGGUAGAAAUUAAAAUGGAGAUGGCGCAGCCUACCAGACUCCUGCAAACGACUUUAGUAUUCAGAGUGGCAACUGUUCUUGUUAAACUGUCAGACAAUCCCAAAUAAAAAAUCAUUGAGCUAUACUAAUAGUUUGUGGCACGAGUCCUCUUGUUGAUGGCUUUUCUGAAAUGAGUCUCAAGAAAAUCAAUAGUUGCAGCAAGCUUUAGCGAGCUCCAAGGAUUGAUUUUCUUCAGACAAGUGUCGAAAAAAAAACCUCUACAAAAGGACGAGUGCCAGAAAUAUUUUCUACUUCAAUUAUACUUAUAAUUUUAGUAUAAUUAUUAAAGUAAAUGCACUCUAUUUUUGUACUGUGAUGUCACGACGCUGCUCACAGCUGAUGUAUAUUACGUCGCUAGAAGGAAUGCAUGCGGUGUUACACAUUACGUCAAGUCAUGUGCUACCCUUGAUUAUGGAAUGACAUAACGAAAAGGUAGCAACGGCAUCUACCUCCUAAACAACGAGACCUAUUGAUGAAUGAAAAGGGUGGAUUACUGAGUAGGGGAGGUGUGUUAGACAGUUUAUCUAGCACGUCUUUCUGGCACCUUUCUACUGGUUGAUUGAACUAGAAAUGUACAUCCUGCUCUCCAAGCUAACCAAGCAGGUCAGAGCCAAUUAUGUUGGGGGUUUUGUAUGUUUGUAAUUUGUUGUUUCAGGUGCAUGUGCAGGAUAUUUUAGGGGGGGGGGGGGGGGGGGGGGUCUAGACUGUGGCAAGCAAAGUUUAUGGGGCAGCGGGGAAUUGAUACAUCCAUGCUCCCCCCCAAAAAUGUAUUCAAUUUAGUUUUUUUGCCUGUGUUUGUUGUUGUUGUUGUUUAUUUUUCUUACAAUUUUUGGUUUAUUAUUACAUAAUAUACAUGUAGCUAUGAUGAGGUCAUCUUCUGGUGUAAGAACAAUUAACCUGGAGGUGAACUGAUUGGAAUUGUGAUGAAAAGAUUGAAUUUGGUACCCAAGCAUUUGACAUUAACCACAGACAAAAACUGACAGUAAAUAUAUUGUCAUGAAUGCUACCUCCAUCGCAUAACAAAUUUACAUGUAGUUGUAUCUGAAAACUGUGUGUGUUAUGUUACAAUGUACCUCGAUUGUUAUCCAUAUAAAAAUGUUACUGCAGUGCUAAUCUUGUGUAUGUUUAUUAUAGAAGUGUCCAUGUAUGUUUAUCAUUUAUGCUUUUUGUAAAUAUUAAAUAAUUCUGUAAACUUA